rnacentral:rRNA from 1 species
GGUAUGGGAUGAGCUUGCGUCCGAUUAGCUAGUUGGCGGGGCAACGGCCCACCAAGGUGACGAUCGGUAGCCGGCCUGAGAGGGUGAUCGGCCACAUUGGGACUGAGAUACGGCCCAGACUCCUACGGGAGGCAGCAGUAGGGAAUAUUGCACAAUGGGGGAAACCCUGAUGCAGCAACGCCACGUGUGGGAAGAAGCAUUUCGGUGUGUAAACCACUGUCGUGAGGGAAUAAGGCAUUUUUUCGGAGAUGUUGAAUGUACCUCGAGAGGAAGCACCGGCAAACUUCGUGCCAGCAGCCGCGGUAACACGAGGGGUGCAAGCGUUGUUCGGAAUCACUGGGCGUAAAGGGAGCGCAGGCGGAAGCUCAAGCGGAUUGUACAAUACCGGGGCCCAACCCCGGACCUGCAGUCCGAACUGGGUUUCUUGGAUAGUUCAGGGGCAGGC